UCUGAUCUACCAUCAUUGUUUAAUGUUCGGC
rnacentral:piRNA from 1 species